UAUUAAGUCAAGAUUGCUAUAUGUUUAUCGCAACUGUUAUUGUAAAAGACGCCAAUAUUAGACAGUGUCUAAUAGACACUGGGCAGAAUGCCGUGUCACUAAUUUAACUGCCUAUAGUUCGGCCGCUCAGAGAAUGCGUUUCUGACACAUCGCGAUUGAACUGACGACGUAACUUUGUAAUGGCGUUGCAGUACGAUAAAAAUAUUUUUGCUGGUUGUUUAUCGUUUUAACAAUUGUUGAGCAUUAAAACAACAUUAUUAUAUCAAUAAUAAUCAAUGAAUGUUGUAAUUUUGUGCCAAAUUGAGUGUCAAAUAACUUGGUAAACAAUAUUUUUCUAAAUCUAUACUGCGCUAUUACAAGGUUAUGUCAGCGCUUUAUAUUUGUAGUGCUGUGCUAAAAAUAACAGGCAAGUAUCGUAAUCUGUUCUGGUUGAUGGUUCUUAUACAGUUAUACUUAUAAUAUAAAAUAAUACGUUUUGUUUUUCUUUUUAAGAAUUUGAAAAUAAUGGACUAUAGGAUAAAUUUUAUGAAAUAUAAAAAUAAAACUAUGAUCAAACUGAACGCGCGAAAGAAAGUAGCAUUUUUAUAUUUAGGUUGAAAAUGGUAACCCCAAAUGGCAUCAUGGGCCGUCAUUUUGUGACGCUAAUGCCUGUAGCACACCUCCGCUGCGAAACCCAAAGGGCGAAACCGCCAUCGUUUCGCUGUGAGUUCGGAGGUGUGCUACAGGCAUAAAUAGUCAUUUGUUGUCGUUUCGUGCGCUUAGACUAAGUGCCCUGCCUCAUUAGGACGCCAAUGGCGACGUCGCCGGCUACGUAUCCAAGCAGUUAGUAUUGAAAUGUAUGGAACCUAACUCACUUGGCGACGGUUUGGUAACGUCGCCAAAUUGGAGGCGUGGCCACGAGCUACAGUUCCCUAUGUGGCUUCUGGCUACCGUGGCAACUUGGCGACGUGGCCACAGUAGCCACUAUAAUGUACACGGUAAAGCGCACCUCCCUCACACAGUCGCCAAUGUGGUCGCCAGUCAGCUUGCAAUUUCUUGAGAGACGACGUAAACAAUUGACUGUCGAGACGCCAUGGCCACUCGACUUGGCGACAUUUGGAUGCCAGAAGUAGCCAGACCUGUGCCGCUGGCGACGUCGCCAUGGCGUCCCAGUGAGGUAGAGCUCUAAAAACCUGAUUUUGGAAGAUUUUGACCGAGAUAUCAGGAUUGAUUCUGUUAUUGAUAAUACCUAAUAUACACGUAAUAUACACGUAGGCGAAGAUGAUGAUGAAGACACCACCUCCUCAAGCGAAUCGGAGUCUGAUUAACAUUCUGUACGCACAUUCAAUUCAAUGUACUUACUUUAUUGCAUAGAAAUACAGAUUGUAAAUUUGUAACAAAGAAUAAAUAAAACGAUUUUAUUAUAUGAA